UACAUGGGGUGCAAACGUUGCUCGGAAUUAUUGGGCGUAAAGCGCACGUAGGCGGUUCGUUAAGUCGGAUGUGAAAGCCCUCGGCUCAACUGAGGAAGUGCACCCGAAACUGGCGAGCUUGAGUACGAAAGAGGAUCGCGGAAUUCCCGGUGUAGAGGUGAAAUUCGUAGAUAUUGGGAAGAACACCGGUGGCGAAGGCGGCUCACUGGCUCAUUUCUGACGCUCAGGCGCGACAGCGUGGGGAUCAAACAGG
rnacentral:rRNA from 1 species